UCGAGGCUCCAGAGCUGUGUUCCUAGCUCUUCAACUCCAAGUACUUCUACUCUUGUCAAGUCAUUGCAUUAACGAACAGGAGAAAAAAGAGAGAAACCCUCUCGGGUAGAGGAGAAAGAAAUGGUGAGGUAGAAGCCAGUUUUGCGAUUCUGCAAGGAAUUUCGGUUCGUUUGCUUUUCUUUGUUUUUGGGAAAGGCUUUUAGUUGCUGCGACGCUGUAUCCUGAAAUAGCCCCGUUACGUCCGGAGUUUCACGCUCCCGUUGGGCUCUCCGGCGUCUCCUUCAUGCACACUAUGGUUCUGCUAUGGGUUGCUUUUGAUCUGUCUACUUCUCCAAUUUUCAGAUGUGGUUUGCAUACUGGUUUAUGCCCUAACUAGUUCAGGUUAUCAUUGGUGAUCCGUGUUGAUCGGCGAUGCUGUGGCGUAGAUUGCUUUGAUUGGUGAUGCUGCUGACGAUUCCUAGUGGUGCAUUGUUGUGUAUCAAUUUCAGGUGGUGCCUCAUUUUCCUGUGAAUGGUUUGAGUUGAAUUAGACUUAUUGAUUUGGGUUGGGCUGAGUC